CGUCGACUCGUCGCGGUCAGUGCAGUGCGCGCGCGCACCCAGUGCGUACCCAAUCUCUCCGUCUCUCUCGCUCUCCGUCUCUUCUCCCGUCAUCACAUACAAUAACACUCGCAUCUUUGCGGAGCGAUCCCGGAGCAGCAGUUCCCUCGACGUCCGGCCAACCCGGACCUCCCUAUGAGUAGUCGGACAGAACCGAAGCAGCUUCUCGGCUGUGAAUAAUAGCUGUACUCGUACACUCAAUACUUAAUCGAGUCGCGACUCCGAGAGCAGCAGCGAGAGUAGCCUCACACACUCCGAGCGAAAUGGCCGACGCCGCGGAGACAGCCUCGACCAGCAAGCAGCAGCAGCCCAGGGGCUCCGUCAGCGACGGACCCGUUGUGGCCGAUCCCUCCUCGAGCGGCACCAAGAGCCUAGAGGCAACAAAUAAUGCCUUUCACGGCGCGAGAUCGAAAUUAGAAGCCAAGUCCAGCGCCUUGAAGAAGGCCGGCAGGUACAGGAGCCGCUCCUUGUCCGCCAGUAGCACCGACAGCUACAGUUCCGCGUCUUAUACAGGAAGCAGCAGCGAGGAGGACGACGUCUCGCCGCGCGAGAAGAUCCAGAAGACGGAGAAGGGCUUCACGGAUUUCUGCGUCAGGAACAUCGAUCAGCAUGCCUUCGGCAGGAGGGAGAUCGAGAUCGCCGAGCAGGAGAUGCCCGGCAUCAUGGCGCUGCGCAAACGCGCUAAGGACGACAAGCCGCUGAAGAACGCGAAGAUCGUGGGCUGCACGCACAUAAACGCCCAGACUGCGGUCCUGGUGGAGACGCUGGUCGAGCUCGGAGCCCAGGUGCGAUGGGCCGCGUGCAACAUCUACUCGACGCAGAACGAGGUGGCCGCGGCCUUGGCCCACGAGGGCUACCCGGUUUACGCCUGGCGCGCCGAGACCGAGGAGGACUUCUGGUGGUGCAUCGACAAGUGCAUCAACGCCGAGAACUGGCAGCCGAACAUGAUACUCGACGACGGCGGCGACGCCACGCACCUCAUGCUCAAGAAGUACAACGCCAUGUUCAAGAUGAUCAAAGGUAUCGUCGAGGAGAGCGUAACAGGUGUGCACCGGCUGUACCAGCUGUCCAAGGCGAACAAGCUCUCGGUGCCAGCGAUGAACGUCAACGACAGCGUCACCAAGACCAAAUUCGAUAAUCUCUACAGCUGCCGCGAGAGCAUUAUCGACAGUCUGAAGAGGUCAACCGAUGUGAUGUUCGGUGGUAAGCAGGUCGUCAUCUGCGGCUACGGCGAGGUCGGCAAGGGUUGCUGCCAGGCGCUCAAGGGCCUCGGCUGCAUCGUCUACAUCACCGAGAUCGAUCCGAUUUGCGCCCUUCAGGCAAGUAUGGACGGCUUUAGAGUGGUUAAGCUGAACGAAGUCAUACGGAACGUCGACAUCGUCAUCACCGCCACCGGUAACAAGAACGUCGUGACGCGCGAACACAUGGACAAGAUGAAGAACGGCUGCGUUGUGUGCAAUAUGGGACACAGCAAUACGGAAAUUGAUAUUAAUAGCUUACGCACGUCAGACUUGACAUGGGAGAAGGUCCGCUCGCAGGUGGAUCACGUAAUCUGGCCGGAUGGCAAGCGAAUCGUCCUCCUGGCCGAGGGCCGUUUAGUCAAUCUCUCGUGUUCCAGUAUUCCGUCCUUCGUAGUUUCCAUUACGGCUGCGACCCAGGCACUCGCUCUCAUCGAACUGUUUAACGCUCCUCAAGGCCGCUACAAGAGCGACGUUUACUUACUGCCUAAAAAGAUGGAUGAGUACGUCGCUUCACUGCAUCUACCUACGUUCGAUGCUCACUUGACGGAACUCACGGACGAACAGGCCAAGUACAUGGGCUUGAAUAAAGCCGGACCCUUCAAACCUAAUUAUUAUCGAUGCCUUUCUCAUGUUCUGGCGUUUCGAAUGAAACAAAAGUUUUUACAAAGUCAAAUUCAUAAAUAGAAGACAAAUAAGAGCAAAAUACGAAGUAUAUGCGAUUUAGCGUAGGGAAAACUAUAAAACAUCGCGGUAGGGCUAAAAUCACAAAUUUAUACUAUGUAUAUUUUAUUGUUGUGAACCUUUUUUUAAAUCAUUUUCAUAAAAAAAACUACUAAAUUGGAAAACGGGUAGGACAGUAAAAAAAAUGUGGAUCUGUGGGAUCACCGUUCCGAUCCACCAAUAAGAGAGACACAAGCAUACAUAAUUAAAAAGAGACUUACUAUGAUGCAGAGCAGUAUUUCAAUUUCAAGUGAGAGAAGAAGAACGCGUAAGGACUGUGCUUAAUUCAACCGUCAAAUACCAUACAAUUGAAAAAGGGAGGAUGGACUAACACGUUGAAUGUCAAGAAAACACGUACAUCAUUCCAAGCAAAGAGUUAAUUCAUUAUUAUUAUUAAUGGCAAACGUUUCGUUCGCUUGUACAUACCUGCUGUUACUAUACUCGGCUGGACGAGUAAAUCGUUGCAAUGAUUAGGAGAUCUUUUGAAAAAACGAAAAGAGCGUGCAAAAAACAAUGUAGUCUAUUUUGUAAAUACUAUGGUGAGCGUACGAUCUUGCGAGGCACACGAGGGCGUGUAACGUCGACUCAUCGCCUCUGAAGAGAACGCUUGCAGUUUUUAACGGACGGUCUUUGGAAAAUCAAUUUUUAUGACUUUGAGCCGUGUUAUUAGAUCGGAUUCAUAAGCGAUAGUUUUUAAGAUUCAUUCCAGAGAUUGUUGAGAUUUGCAGGCAACGUGUAAAUACAGUUUUGUUCAAGGAAUCCUUAGUUCGUUGAGAUUCGCCAAAUACUCCAGGUUCGUAAAGUUUUACUGCAUGAAAUUCAGUGGCAAAUAUGAAGUUUGCCACUUUUUAACGAGAUACCACAAUGUACAUAAUAGUAGAGUCGAUUAAAAUAAUAGUCGUUUUUUUUUUAAUAGAUCUUUACGGUAGUGUUUAUCGUUAAUUUUACCGCGUACUUGUUAUAUCGCUGAAAAUCGUAAAAUAUUGAUUUUCAAGACUUGUCAGCCAUGUAUGUGUGAGCAGUCAAAGUACGUAGAUUCGUUACCGAAGGUUACUUUUACGCCUCGUAAAGCCGGAUUGUACCUCUGCUUUGACUGUUGUAGGAACCAACAAAUAAAAUCUCCUGUGCUAUGUAAGAGAUAGGAAAAACUUAACGAAUUGACCGAGCGACCGCACUUUUGGCGUGUGAAUGAUAUCUUAGGCAAAAAAUAUAAUAUCGAGGAAAAAAGGCGUUUGAACAGUAUUUAGCGAAACACUCAUACAGUUACUUACUUGUCACCCGCAACGAGUGAGCAGAGCGAAUGCACUAAAAUUCGACUCGGCGUAGCAGAGAGCUUAGCGUAUUGUGAACUAGAUUGAUGAAAAUAAUUCCAAUGCCAAUUAUCGAGUACUAUGAAGAACGAAGCAAAGCGAACCGAAAAUAGUUAUACAUAAUUACGUGAUGUGAAAAUAUUUUACCCGAACGAGUGUUUAAAAGUGCUAACUAUGUAUAAUUCCCAUUUUCGAGCAGCUGUCGCAUUGUGUUACAGCGGCAGAGAAAAGAUGUUGUUCCUACCGUUUUCACGCUUAGCUAAAGAAAAUAAAAGAUUUUAAAAAGUGAAGUAAGAAGGCCUAAGAUUUUUGGAGCCUUUUUCGUGCUCGACAUCAGCCAGUCUUUUUUUCAUUGGGUCUAUUUCAAAAGAAAUGUCUUUUUUUCUUGAUUAUAUUAGAAACGAGACAAAGAACUCGCAUUAGCCUUCUUAAGUACGAAGACAAAAAAAACUAAGGAAAAACUUUGCAAAGAUGUACUUUGUUAUGUGCGUUAUUGUGGAAGCUUCGUUCACGCGAGCACGAUGUUUUUCAUCGAGCGCUAAUGUGAAGACGGUAUUACUCCAAGAAUUAGCAGUGAAAACAAAUAACAUGUACAUCUGUGUCACUAGUAUUUUUGUAAAAUAAUGUUGUAGACCGUAAAUAAACUACGGACGACUUUGAAAGAUUCAA